UACGGGGGGGGCUAGCGUUGUUCGGAAUUACUGGGCGUAAAGGGCGCGUAGGCGGUCUGCUAAGUUGGAUGUGAAAACUCUGGGCUUAACCCAGAGCCUGCAUUCAAUACUGACAGGCUAGAGUUCUGGAGGGGAUAGCGGAAUUCCUGGUGUAGCGGUGAAAUGCGUAGAUAUCAGGAGGAACACCAGUGGCGAAGGCGGCGAUCUGGGAAGAUACUGACGCUGAGGUGCGAAAGCGUGGGGAGCAAACAGG
rnacentral:rRNA from 1 species